rnacentral:rRNA from 1 species
CCUACGGGCGGCUGCAGUGGGGAAUAUUGGACAAUGGGGGCAACCCUGAUCCAGCCAUGCCGCGUGUGUGAAGAAGGCCCUCGGGUUGUAAAGCACUUUCAGUGAGGAAGAACGCCUGGUGGUUAAUACCCAUCAGGAAAGACAUCACUCACAGAAGAAGCACCGGCUAACUCCGUGCCAGCAGCCGCGGUAAUACGGAGGGUGCGAGCGUUAAUCGGAAUUACUGGGCGUAAAGCGCGCGUAGGUGGCUUGAUAAGCCGGUUGUGAAAGCCCCGGGCUCAACCUGGGAACGGCAUCCGGAACUGUCAAGCUAGAGUGCAGGCGAGGAAGGUAGAAUUCCCGGUGUAGCGGUGAAAUGCGUAGAAAUCGGGAGGAAUACCAGUGGCGAAGGCGGCCUUCUGGACUGACACUGACACUGAGGUGCGAAAGCGUGGGUAGCAAACAGGAUUAGAUACCCUAGUAGUC